rnacentral:lncRNA from 1 species
UUUUUUUUUUUUAGUAGUAAAUACGGCCAGUGGUACAGAAGGGCUCAACUACAAGUGACACUGGAUUUUCAUCUUGGGAGGGUCAGUGGCCCUAACCCCUGCAUUGUCCAACGGUCAGCCAUAGUUACUCUGAAUAUUGCCAGAGGGUUAAAGAAAAUCAUGUUGCUUCACACAAUGCCUGGGACACAAUCAGUGCCCAAUGCAUACUAUUUACAAUUAUGAAAAGCAAAGUCAAUAAGAAUGUUUCUGAACACAACCAAAAUUUAUGCUUCUAGCUGUGUAUGUGGCGCUGUCCAGAAAAACCAAAUACACUCCCUUUUGCUAUUACAUAAUAUUUGCAUUUCUGAGAACACAUGUAUAUCAACAAUUAUAAAAAUAACUGCUCCCAUGGGGAAAAGUGGUUUAGGAUCUCAAGUUUCAGACUGAUAAUGAAAGUUAUUUUCUGUAGGAAUUUAAUCAAUAACAAGGGCUUGUAGCUGUAAAACCUAAACAUCCCUGAGCAAAUCCAGCAUGUAAUCAUAUCCAAGUUUUGCUCCAAAGGUCUUUCCUUUUCUAUCUUUAAGACUAUUCUUUGUACUUUCUUAAACACAUCUUUAUUGCCAGUGGCUUCUCAUUAAGGAGGGUUAAUAAAGCCCCCAAAGUUAAGAUAAAUUGUAACUUAGGUCAUGAAGAACAUUGAAGGAAAGACCCCAAAGCCAGGUAAGUCAGCUGCCCAAACCAAGCAUCCCAACAACAGCUUUGCCACCCGCAGCUCUAGCUCCCGGGGAGGAAGGCUUCCUCCCCAUCUGUGACCACCUGGGAUGGAAACAACAUUCUCUCAUCUGCUGCACUGUCUGCAAUUUGUGGUAUUAAAGCUGAUCCUGCAUUGUACUGUAUCCUACCCAUGGUGCUAAAUAAAAUCUGUUAAUUCUGCUUACAAUCUAUAAUGAUUGGUGUGUUCAACGACUUUAUGGAGAAAGCUAAGCAACAUUAGCUAACACCUACAGCAACAUCACCUGUCACUUAUACACAUAAAGCUAUGAAACUCAUGAAGAUUUCUCUUCCUCGUAGCACAGUUUUGCUCUGCGCAGCCUCACUCGAAGUGGACAGCUCCCACAUUCAAAGACUGUACCUUUCUACAAAGCUAAGGAAAACAGCUUUCUCAGUCUUUUAUUCUCCAUUCUCCUUAGAAUCCCAGUGACUGAACCAUCUAAAUUCUUAAGGGUAAGCCCCAGCGUUCAAGACACAGACAAGAAAGCUGGCCCAUUUGAUAACUGAGUAAAAAGACAGUUAUCAAAUAUGAAGACAAAGAGGAUUCAAACAUCCUCAAAAUACUACCUAGGAGACAAGCACCAUAUAAGCUACAAGAUGCUGCAAGAGGAAGAGACCUAGGGAUGGGAUAGAAGAAAAGGCAGAGAAGUCUGGAAGAAAAGCAGAGCAUCUAAAGAUGUUUAACAGGAGUGAGUGUGAAAGAAACUGGAAUGGUAACAUCAGUACUUGGUUAGGGCAAAGUUACAAAUAAAAGCCCAGAAAUAUAUCCCUCCUCCCAACCACCCCCUUGUAGGUCAUCUCCUGACACAAGCAAGUGCCAUAAACCCAAACAGCAACAUCAAUGAUCACAGAGCACAUGGAGCAGUCUUCAUCCAGUACCUGCAACCAAGCACAGCAUCAUUGGGGCCCCAUUAAAGGGCCUUAACCAAGCUGUACUUGGCAGGACAGCAGCAGCCUAUAUUUGAAAGUCACUGUAAGAAUUGUUCCUAUGAAACUUACCACAUCACUCCCAGGGUGAUUUUCAUCAUAUUAUGAAUUCUUUUUAUACCUACCCUGGGUGAAACUUCUCUUUGGUCUGAACAUAAGGAACAGUUGUAGUUCUUCUGAGCAUUAUUCACUUUUUAUCCUACAGACUUGUAUAACCCAUCUGGUCUCACUGGCUGCUCGAGAGCAAAGAGCCAAAUGGCCCAGCCCUAGCAAGUCUGUGUCUUUAUGGUAUAUACAUGCUUACCCUAAAUACUGGCCCCAUUUCUGAAGUUUCCAGGCUUUUCGUCUUUUUAAUUUAUGCUAUAUUUUCAUAUUUUAUGUAUUGCAAGCUGCCUUACAUAUCUGGAGUAGAUCCAAGAAUAAAUUUAAGUCCACAAAUAAUAAACAUGGCUCUGUUUCAGAGGAUGAUCUUACCACACAGUAACCAUGUGUAUUCAUUUACCCUUUCGGAGACGUAUUCUGCAGGGAAAAUGGACCAAGUGCUGUACUAAGGCACAGAUGAUAUGAAAAUAAAAACAGAGCCUCUGCCUCUAGUCGGGAAGAGACAAAACAAGCUACAAAUUGCUAUAGCAAUAAAACAAGGACCUGAAAUGGAGAAUCAUGGGGACAGGGGUAUAUAUGUGCAGAAGGGGGUGUGGGGAACAUUUCAGAGAAAGUGACACAAUUCUGAAGGAUUGGGAGCUUGAAUUAGUGGUUGUUUAAAAAGGAAUGGAGGAGUUCCCAUCGUGGCUCAGUGAUUAAUGAAUCCGACUAGGAACUAUGAGGUUUCGGGUUCAAUCCCUGGCCUUGCUCAUGGGUUAAGGAUCCAGCGUCCCCAUGAGCUGUGGUAUAGAUCACAGAUGUGGCUUGGAUCUGGCAUUGCUGCAGCUGUGGUAUAGGCCAGCAGCUAAAGCUCCAAUUCGACCCCUAGCCUAGGAACUUCCAUAUCCCACACCUGCAGCCCUUAAAAAAAGAAAACAAAAAAGCCUUUUAACCAAGGCAGAGGGAACAGAAUGCACAACAUCAUGAGACAAGAGGACUGUUUAAAGACAUGAGGGAUAC